rnacentral:ribozyme from 11 species
ACGACAUCACACAAAAAUAUUCAUCCAUGAUUUCUCUCUGUGUCUGCUUACCUGCAUUUUUCACUCAUUUUCUUCUGUCUUCCUCCUGUCUUUGUCUCUGUGUUGGGUGAAUCUUCUCAUACCUCAGAGGAAACAGAGAAUGGAAAAACAGUGACUCUAAAAAAAGUUUUU